UACGUAGGGGGCAAGCGUUAUCCGGAUUUACUGGGUGUAAAGGGAGCGCAGACGGCAGUGCAAGUCUGGAGUGAAAGCCCGGGGCCCAACCCCGGAACUGCUCUGGGAACUGUGCGGCUAGAGUACUGGAGGGGCAGGCGGAAUUCCUAGUGUGGCGGUGAAAUGCGUAGAUAUUAGGAGGAACACCAGUGGCGAAGGCGGCCUGCUGGACGGUGACUGACGCUGAGGCUCGAAAGCGUGGGGAGCAAACAGG
rnacentral:rRNA from 1 species